AUGCCACCUAAAGCCUCAGUAAAGGUUACAGUGCCUGUGUCUCAUUUGCCUCUCCUGACAGGGAAGGAUGUUGGGUCUGCCAAAUUCAAACUGUCUGUAGGUAUGCAAUGGUGUGUGGAGAAGCUACUGCCUGACCUGCUGUGGGGCCAACACACCGAGAGUGACUCCGGUGCCUGCUGGGUUGAGCUGUGCCUGGGGGCUGGCAGUGACAUGAAAUCCGUGCCUUGGUGCAUGAGGAUUAUUGAUGUGCUUGGGAGAGGCCCAGUGCCUUGGGGCUUUGCAAGAGGAGACCCUGGGGAGACUGAAGUCUUUGAAACAGUAUUGAUUCCUGCUUUAUAAAUCCUGGCUAAAGUCAGGGUCAUAAGAUUUUAAGGAUACUACAAAUGAUUCGUGUAUGUUCCACUGCAGGGAGUCUCUUUUUAUUGGUUUGAUAUUCCCCAUUUAAUGCACACUUCUAGUAUUAGCUCAGCUGCGGUGCUUAUUGGGGGAGUUAUUGGCUGUUCUCAUCCUUAUUCAUUUCUUUCUUCCUUUCCUCUUUCUUGGUGAUUCCACUUAGGGUUGGCAAAGCUGUGAAUUUAAGCCAAUGCACUAGCUAAGGCACGGGCUGAGGGGAGUGGGAGUUAAAUUUAAUUCUUACGACAUACUCAGAGUGCAGUCUUAGGGAGAGACAGAGGUAACAGGUUAUCAUGUACCUCAGCGUAGGGUAAGAGGAUUAGCCUGGGUCUCAUUACAAUUAUAAAAUGAUCCAUAAUUUGGUCGUGGGUGUUAAAUCCUGUGGCAGGUGUAUGGCGUGCUCCUGUAGGAGGGGGGCACAAAAAACGAGUGUCACUUUGUGGAGAGAACUGGAGUCCUUUGAAAGUGCGAGUUAGCUACUCAAAUGGAAUUAAGCACAAAACCUUAGAGAAAAUUCCUUAUUUCUCUGGUUUCAUUUUGGUUUUGGCCCUGUCUUAACCAAAAAUAUUUACUUAAACUGUUUAUUGAUGCUUAUUAUUAAACCUUAGUUUUUGAGAAGCAAUAUAUUUUGAGUAAUGCUUGC
rnacentral:lncRNA from 1 species